rnacentral:rRNA from 1 species
CACUCCUGCGGGAGGCAGCAGUGGGGAAUUUUGGACAAUGGGCGAAAGCCUGAUCCAGCAAUGCCGCGUGAGUGAAGAAGGCCUUCGGGUUGUAAAGCUCUUUUGUCAGGGAAGAAACGGUGAGAGCUAAUAUCUCUUGCUAAUGACGGUACCUGAAGAAUAAGCACCGGCUAACUACGUGCCAGCAGCCGCGGUAAUACGUAGGGUGCAAGCGUUAAUCGGAAUUACUGGGCGUAAAGCGUGCGCAGGCGGUUUUGUAAGUCUGAUGUGAAAUCCCCGGGCUCAACCUGGGAAUUGCAUUGGAGACUGCAAGGCUAGAAUCUGGCAGAGGGGGGUAGAAUUCCACGUGUAGCAGUGAAAUGCGUAGAUAUGUGGAGGAACACCGAUGGCGAAGGCAGCCCCCUGGGUCAAGAUUGACGCUCAUGCACGAAAGCGUGGGGAGCAAACAGGAUUAGAUACCCCAGUAGUCCCAUGA